rnacentral:rRNA from 1 species
GAUGAACGCUGGCAGCGUGCUUAACACAUGCAAGUCGAACGGGAAACCUUUUAUUGAAGCUUCGGCAGAUUUAGAUUGUUUCUAGUGGCGGACGGGUGAGUAACGCGUGGGUAACCUGCCUUAUACAGGGGGAUAACAGUCAGAAAUGACUGCUAAUACCGCAUAAGCGCACAGAGCUGCAUGGCUCGGUGUGAAAAACUCCGGUGGUAUAAGAUGGACCCGCGUUGGAUUAGCUAGUUGGUGAGGUAACGGCCCACCAAGGCGACGAUCCAUAGCCGGCCUGAGAGGGUGAACGGCCACAUUGGGACUGAGACACGGCCCAGACUCCUACGGGAGGCAGCAGUGGGGAAUAUUGCACAAUGGGGGAAACCCUGAUGCAGCGACGCCGCGUGAAGGAAGAAGUAUCUCGGUAUGUAAACUUCUAUCAGCAGGGAAAAAAAUGACGGUACCUGACUAAGAAGCCCCGGCUAACUACGUGCCAGCCGCCGCGGUAAGAC